rnacentral:rRNA from 1 species
GUAAAGCGAGCGCAGGCGGAAAAAUAAGUCUAAUGUGAAAGCCCUCGGCUUAACCGAGGAACUGCAUCGGAAACUGUUUUUCUUGAGUGCAGAAGAGGAGAGUGGAACUCCAUGUGUAGCGGUGGAAUGCGUAGAUAUAUGGAAGAACACCAGUGGCGAAGGCGGCUCUCUGGUCUGCAACUGACGCUGAGGCUCGAAAGCAUGGGUAGCGAACAGGAUUAGAUACCCUGGUAGUCCAUGCCGUAAACGAUGAGUGCUAAGUGUUGGGAGGUUUCCGCCUCUCAGUGCUGCAGCUAACGUAUUAAGCACUCCGCCUGGGGAGUACGACCGCAAGGUUGAAACUCAAAGGAAUUGACGGGGGCCCGCACAAGCGGUGGAGCAUGUGGUUUAAUUCGACGCAACGCGAAGAACCUUACCAAGGCUUGACAUUGAGUGACCGCCGUAGAGAUACGGCUUCUUCUUCGGAAGCACGAAAACAGGUGGUGCAUGGCUGUCGUCAGCUCGUGUCGUGAGAUGUUGGGUUAAGUCCCGCAACGAGCGCAACCCCUAUCCUAUGUUACCAGCGGGUAAUGCCGGGGACUCAUAGGAGACUGCCAAGGACAACUUGGAGGAAGGCGGGGAUGACGUCAAGUCAUCAUGCCCCUUAUGUCUAGGGCUACACACGUGCUACAAUGGUCGGUACAAUAAGACGCAAGCCCGCGAGGGGGAGCAAAACUGGAAAACCGAUCUCAGUUCGGAUUGUAGGCUGAACUCGCCUACAUGAAGCUGGA